rnacentral:rRNA from 1 species
CUAAAUCGAAAGAUUAGCUAAUACCGCAUAUUCUCUGAGGAGGAAAGCAGGGGACCUUCGGGCCUUGCGUUAUUCGAGCGGCCGAUAUCUGAUUAGCUAGUUGGUGGGGUAAAGGCCUACCAAGGCGACGAUCAGUAGCGGGUCUGAGAGGAUGAUCCGCCACACUGGGACUGAGACACGGCCCAG